CUCUCGGCAACGGAUAUCUCGGCUCUCGCAUCGAUGAAGAACGUAGCGAAAUGCGAUACCUGGUGUGAAUUGCAAAUCCCGUGAACCAUCGAGUCUUUGAACGCAAGUUGCGCCCGAGGCCAUCCGGCUAAGGGCAUGCUUGCCUGGGCGUCAC
rnacentral:rRNA from 1 species